UGUGAUGGGGAGCGAAAUUUAGUAGCGAAGUAGCUGAUUUCACACUGUCAAGAAAAGUCUCUAUCGAGGUUAAAGGUACCCGUACCGCAAACCGACACAGGUGGGUGAGGAGAGUAUCCUAAGGCCAGCGAGAGAACUGUUGUUAAGGAACUCGGCAAAAUGACCCCGUAACUUAGGGAUAAGGGGUGCCACCAUCAGGUGGCCGCAGAGAAUAGGCCCAAGCGACUGUUUACCAAAAACAUAGGGUUCUGCUAAGUCGCACGACGAUGUAUAGGAGCUGACGCCUGCCCGGUGCUGGAAGGGUAAGGGGAGCUGGUAGAGCAAGCGAAGCAGUGCACUUAAGCCCCAGUACACGGCGGCCGUAACUAUAACGGUCCUAAGGUAGCGAAAUUCCUUGUCGGGUAAGUUCCGACCCGCACGAAAGGCGUAACGAUUUGGGCACUGUCUCA
rnacentral:rRNA from 1 species